UCCGGCUUCAAUUCCGUAGUGCAUUGCAGUGUAGGACCUGUUCCAAAGACCAACUGCAAGCAUUGUGGGAGUGAAGCCGUGCU
rnacentral:pre_miRNA from 1 species